rnacentral:rRNA from 1 species
UACGUAGGGCGCAAGCGUUAUCCGGAAUUAUUGGGCGUAAAGCGUGCGCAGGCGGUUGUGCAAGACCGAUGUGAAAUCCCCGGGCUUAACCUGGGAACUGCAUUUGUGACUGCAUAGCUAGAGUACGGUAGAGGGGGAUGGAAUUCCGCGUGUAGCAGUGAAAUGCGUAGAUAUGCGGAGGAACACCGAUGGCGAAGGCAGCCUCCUGGGCUAGUACUGACGCUCAUGCACGAAAGCGUGGGGAGCAAACAGG